rnacentral:lncRNA from 1 species
AAAACCAAGCUACUUUCGUUUAUUGGCUGAAGUGUACUUUGAAACAAGAAAACCAAGCUACUUUCGUUUCUUGCCAAAAGUGCACUUUAAACGACUCAUACAUGUAUGGAUAUAUUAAUUCCUGCUGAUUUUACCACAAGUGGGGAAUGCAGGCAAUUACAUUAUUAACUGACCGCUCUGAUAAUCAAUUCACCUGGCAAUCAAGGCAAUAACUAACCUUGUAUAAGGAGAGACUGUUGCUUAUCAAUACUUUAACAUCAAUUUGGUGAUGCACUGAAGACUAAUUCAACAGUUUUUCCUAAAAAGCACAAAAGUGCUGGAGGAAGGCCUAGCCCAGUGGUUCCCAAAGUGUGGGGCAGAUCCCACAGGGGGUGGGUGAGGGUGAAAAAAAAUGACUGAGAAACCCAACAACCAACCACUGGUCAAAUUAAGUAUGGCAAUGCUAGUAUAAUACAGCAUAAUAGCCUCUAACUAACCUAUUUGGUGAUGAAUUUAUAGCCUACUUUGUGCUUCUAUAAUAUGAUCAGGGCCUAACUUUUAGCCUAAAUGUUAGAAGGAAUAGCUAACCUAAUUUUUAUUACAAUGGGUAUGCGCCUAACAUGAAUUGAUCUAAAGACUGUUCCUUUUUUUUUUAAACAUAUUUUUUUUCUCAUUAUCAAAGGGAUGGCCUGCCAUAGAGGCUGACAUUUUUUUUCAGGAGUCUUGUGGGUCACAGAAUUCCUGUGGGAUUCCCGUGGGAUGGGAGUCAAUUUCACUAUUCAUCACAUGACUGGGACAAGAAAAAAAGUAAACGGGAGCGGACGGGACAGGAAUUACAAUAACAACAGGAGAGCGGGCGUGACCCAGGGACUGCUGCUGGGUUUGAUGAUGCCAACCUCUGCCAACCUCUGCCAUCUUCUGUUCAGCAGUUGCUCACUUGGGCACGAUGGGCAGGCGACGAGGGUGAAGGCAGAUGGGGCGUGCAUCUCCAGUGUCGAUGUCAGACCCGGUUGGUGUGUGUACAGCUCUGGUCUCUGGCCACGAAAAUGUCAAUGAACCGUUUCAGUAGCGCACUCAACAGGUGUCGCUGGUCCCCCUUAAGGCCCUUACAGCUCCGCUGGUACAGGUCAUCGACAGCUUAUCUGGUCUGUUGCAGGGUUGCAUUGUGCUGACCUAGGUCAGAGUUACCUAGGAGAUCAGUAAAUAUGUGAAACAGAGUGGAAACAUCUGCUGAUUAGGGACAGUGGUGGUGCCAUUACGAAGUGACAAACUAUGAAUAAUAAUCCAAUCCAAUAAUCCAAUAAAUGCCAAUCGUUUCUGGGAAAGAUGAUAUAU